rnacentral:rRNA from 1 species
UCUUGUACCAUACAAGCAGACGGCUCAUAACGCGUAGUCAACCUAACCUAUGGACGGGAAUAACCUCGGGAAACUGAGUAUAAUGCCCGAUAGAACACUAUACCUGGAAUGGUUUGUGUUCCAAAUGAUUUAUCGCCGUAGAUGGGACUGCGGCCUAUCAGUUUGUUGGUGAGGUAAUGGCCCACCAAGACUAUUACAGGUACGGGCUCUGAGAGGAGUAGCCCGGAGAUGGGUACUGAGACACGGACCCAGGCCCUAUGGGGCGCAGCAGGCGAGAAAACUUUGCAAUGUGCGAAAGCACGACAAGGUUAAUCCGAGUGGUUUCUGCUAAAGAAACCUUUUGUCAGUCCUAGAAACACUGAUGAAUAAGGGGUGGGCAAGUUCUGGUGUCAGCCGCCGCGGUAAAACCAGCACCUCAAGUGGUCAGGAUGAUUAUUGGGCCUAAAGCAUCCGUAGCCGGCUCUGUAAGUUUUCGGUUAAAUCUGUACGCUCAACGUACAGGCUGCCGGGAAUACUGCAGAGCUAGGGAGUGGGAGAGGUAGACGGUACUCGGUAGGAAGGGGUAAAAUCCUUUGAUCUAUUGAUGACCACCUGUGGCGAAG